CGCUGGCGGCGUGCCUAACACAUGCAAGUCGAACGGAGUAAACCGCUGAUUUGAAGGUAGCUUGCUACUGGAUUUUCUUGGUUUACUUAGUGGCGGACGGGCGAGUAACGCGUGAGCAACCUGCCUUUCAGAGGGAAUAACGACCGGAAACGGUCGCUAAUACCGCAUAACGUAUCAUGGUGGCAUCAUCGAGAUACCAAAGGAGCAAUCCGCUGAAAGAUGGGCUCGCGUCCGAUUAGAUAGUUGGUGGGGUAACGGCCUACCAAGGCGACGAUCAGUAGCCGGCCUGAGAGGGUGAACGGCCACAUUGGGACUGAGACACGGCCCAGACUCCUACGGGAGGCAGCAGUGGGGAAUAUUGCACAAUGGGCGAAAGCCUGAUGCAGCAACGCCGCGUGAGGGAAGACGGCCUUCGGGUUGUAAACCUCUGUCCUCAGUGACGAAGAAAGUGACGGUAGCUGAGGAGGAAGCCACGGCUAACUACGUG
rnacentral:rRNA from 1 species